rnacentral:rRNA from 1 species
GCACAAGCGGUGGAGCAUGUGGUUAAUUCGAUGCAACGCGAAGAACCUUACCUGGGCUUGACAUCCCGGGAAUCCCUUGGAAACAAGGGAGUGCCCUUCGGGAACCUGGAGACAGGUGCUGCAUGGCUGUCGUCAGCUCGUGUCGUGAGAUGUUCGGCUAAGUCCGCUAACGAGCGCAACCCUCGCUGUGUGUUACAAGUGUCACACGGUACUGCCGAUAUUAAGUCGGAGGAAGGUGGGGAUGACGUCAAGUCAGCAUGACCUUUAUAUCCAGGGCUACACACACGCUACAAUGGCCAGUACAAUGGGUUGCCAAGCCGCGAGGCGGAGCCAAUCCUAAAAAGCUGGCCUCAGUUCAGAUUGCAGUCUGCAACUCGACUGCAUGAAGUUGGAGUUGCUAGUAACCGCAGGUCAGCAAUACUGCGGUGAAUACGUUCCCGGGGAUU